AAAGUCGUAACAAGGUUUCCGUAGGUGAACCUGCGGAAGGAUCAUUAACAAAUUUUAUGUAUAUGGUGUGUGUGCGGAGGGAGGUUUGCGCCUCCCCUCGCAUGCAAAAAUACCAUAUACACAUUCACCCGCACUGGGCCUUAUCGGCACAGUCGGUCACUUGUGUUGUGUGUGUUGUUGGUGUGUGGGGGGGAAGGGUGUGGUGGCUAGCUUUGUCGCUUCUCACCCCCCCCUCUCCGCGCGUCAAUGAUACGCACUGCAUACACAUGAACCCGUUUGUAUCGUUUGACUGAUCACAUGUGUGAUAUAAUAUUUACAACGAAAAACAACUUUUAACAAUGGAUCUCUUGGCUCUU
rnacentral:misc_RNA from 1 species